rnacentral:rRNA from 1 species
AGUGAACGCUGGCGGUAGGCCUAACACAUGCAAGUCGAACGGCAGCACAGUAAGAGCUUGCUCUUACGGGUGGCGAGUGGCGGACGGGUGAGGAAUACAUCGGAAUCUACUUUUUCGUGGGGGAUAACGUAGGGAAACUUACGCUAAUACCGCAUACGACCUACGGGUGAAAGCAGGGGAUCUUCGGACCUUGCGCGAUUGAAUGAGCCGAUGUCGGAUUAGCUAGUUGGCGGGGUAAAGGCCCACCAAGGCGACGAUCCGUAGCUGGUCUGAGAGGAUGAUCAGCCACACUGGAACUGAGACACGGUCCAGACUCCUACGGGAGGCAGCAGUGGGGAAUAUUGGACAAUGGGCGCAAGCCUGAUCCAGCCAUACCGCGUGGGUGAGGAAGGCCUUCGGGUUGUAAAGCCCUUUUGUUGGGAAAGAAAAGCAGCAGGUUAAUACCCCGCUGUUCUGACGGUACCCAAAGAAUAAGCACCGGCUAACUUCGU